rnacentral:rRNA from 1 species
UACGGAGGAUGCAAGCGUUAUCCGGAUUUAUUGGGUUUAAAGGGUGCGCAGGCGGGCUUGUAAGUCAGUGGUGAAAUGCUGCCGCUUAACGGUAGAAUUGCCAUUGAUACUGCAGGUCUUGAAUAUAGUUGAGGUAGGCGGAAUGUGUUGUGUAGCGGUGAAAUGCAUAGAUAUGACACAGAACACCGAUUGCGGAGGCAGCUUACUAAGCUAUGAUUGACGCUGAGGCACGAAAGCGUGGGGAGCGAACAGG